rnacentral:rRNA from 1 species
CAGAGAAUUAUAUAAUUAAAACAACUAACCCCCUUUGUGAACAUACCUAUAACUGUUGCUUCGGCGGGUAGGGUCUCCGUGACCCUCCCGGCCUCCCGCCCCCGGGCGGGUCGGCGCCCGCCGGAGGAUAACCAAACUCUGAUUUAACGACGUUUCUUCUGAGUGGUACAAGCAAAUAAUCAAAACUUUUAACAACGGAUCUCUUGGUUCUGGCAUCGAUGAAGAACGCAGCGAAAUGCGAUAAGUAAUGGGAAUUGCAGAAUUCAGUGAAUCAUCGAAUCUUUGAACGCACAUUGGGCCCGCCAGCAUUCUGGCGGGCAUGCCUGUUCGAACGUCAUUUCAACCCUCAAGCUCUGCUUGGUGUUGGGGCCCUACGGCUGACGUAGGCCCUCAAAGGUAGUGGCGGACCCUCCCGGAGCCUCCUUUGCGUAGUAACUUUACGUCUCGCACUGGGAUCCGGAGGGACUCUUGCCGUAAAACCCCCAAUUUUCCAAAGGUUGACCUCGGAUCAGGUAGGAAUACCCGCUGAACUUAAGCAUAUCAAUAAGCGGGAGGAA